rnacentral:rRNA from 1 species
UACGGAGGGUGCGAGCGUUGUCCGGAAUCAUUGGGCGUAAAGAGCUCGUAGGCGGUUUGUUGCGUCGGCUGUGAAAUCCCGAGGCUCAACCUCGGGUCUGCAGUCGAUACGAGCAAACUAGAGUGUUGCAGGGGAGACUGGAAUUCCUGGUGUAGCGGUGAAAUGCGCAGAUAUCAGGAGGAACACCGGUGGCGAAGGCGGGUCUCUGGGCAACAACUGACGCUGAGGAGCGAAAGCGUGGGGAGCGAACAGG